rfam:Pan troglodytes isolate Yerkes chimp pedigree #C0471 (Clint) chromosome 19, whole genome shotgun sequence.
GCCGGGCGUGGUGGCGGCCGCCUGUAAUCCCAGCUACUUGGGAGGCUGAGGCGGGAGAAUCGCUUGAGCCCGGGAGGUGGAGGUUGCAGUGAGCCGAGAUCGCACCACUUCACUCCAGCCUGGGCGACAGAGAGAGAUUCCGUCUCAA